rnacentral:rRNA from 1 species
AUGGCGGACCUGGUUGUUGGGUUGGCCAAGUCGGUGGUGGAGGGCGCACUGACCAAGGCCCAGUCGGCCAUCGAGGAGGAGGCCAAGCUCCGGGAGAGCGCGCAGCGCGACCUCGUGUUCAUCACAGGCGAGUUUGAGAUGAUGCACUCAUUCCUGAACGUCGCUACGACGGAGCGUGUGGAGAACAAGGUGGUGAUGACCUGGGUGCGGCAGGUCCGCGAGCUGGCCUACGAUGUGGAGGACUGCAUCGAGUUCGUCGUCCACCUUGACACCAAGGCCGGGUGGUGGUGGCGCAUGGUCCCAUCUUGGUGCAUAGGGCUGCCACCGUCUCAACUGUCGCUUGACGAGGCCGUCAGCGAAAUCGGGCAGCUCAAGGCGAGGGUGGAGGAUGUGAGUACCAGGAACUCGCGCUACAACCUCAUCAGCGACUCUGGCUCCAAGGCAGCCGCCACGCAGCACCAGAUGGCUACGCCAGGCGCCUCCCUUGGUUCGUCAGCAUUCAACAUGCUCGUCGAGGCAAGGGACGCCGCGAGGAGGCAGCAAGGCUUGGGGGAUCUCACCCAGUUGAUCACCAACAAAGGCAGCAAUGACAUUCCCCUUCAGGUUAUCUCGGUUUGGGGAACAGGUGGGGAUCUUGGGACGACUUCCAUCAUCAGGAAGGCGUACAAUGAUCCAGAAAUCAGAAAGAACUUCGCAUGUCGCGCCUGGGUGAAGCUCAUGCAUCCUUUCAACCCCAAUGAGCUUGUGCGGCGUUUCAUGGCUCAGGUCUACGCCGCAGACACUCAUGAUAAACACGGAGCAGAUCUGGGUGUACAUGUCUUGACAAAGAUGAAGGCCAAACAAGAGCAACUCCUGAAGGAGUUUGUGCACGAAGUCAACACCAAGACUUACCUUGUUGUCUUGGAGAACCUGACUGACAUGGUGGAUUGGGAUGCCGUGAGGACAUUCCUUCCAGACAUGAAGAAAGGCAGUUGGAUCGUCGUGUCCACACAGCAAUUUGAGAUUGCAAGCUUGUGCAUUGGACAUGCUUACCAACCAGUGGAGCUCAAGCAGUUCUCACCUGAGCACUCAGUUUGUGCUUUCUUCAAAGAGGGUUCUCAGGACAAUGGAGACAAAGAAGAGAAACCAAUGGUGCAUGAAGUUGGCCCAAAUUCCUCCUUGGAAAAACUUCGAUCCUCCGACAUGACAGCGGUCACUGAGUGGAUGGGUAACUUUCCCCUUGUUGGACGCGAGUCACAAAUGAGUGAACUUCGCAAUCAUACAGCUAAGGCAUGUUUCAGCGAUUCCCCAAUUAUAUCUGUUUGGGGGAUAGCUGGCAUUGGGAAAUCUGCACUUGUUAGAAACUUGUACUAUGACAGAAUGCUUCAGACCAACCAGUUUACCAAGUAUAGUUGGGUGGACAUAUCACAUCCAUUCAAUUUAAGGGAUUUUUCACGAAGCCUUCUUUCGGACCAUCAUUCAGACAAAGACCCCAUUAAAGAGUGCCGCGACCUUCUAAGAAAACAUAAGUGUCUCAUUGUUAUUGAUGAUCUCCAGUCCAAAGAAGAAUGGGACUUAAUAAAGGCUGCAUUGGUAUCUAGGCCUUCUUCGAGUGUUAUCAUUGCCAUUACAACUGAAGCCAGCCUUGCCACAUAUUGCGCAAAUAACGAAGAGCAAGUCUUUAAUGUCAAAUGUCUAGAAGCUGCUGCUGCCAUGGAGCUCUUCAGAAACGAGGUAUACAGGAAGAAUCAGUCAUGCCCUUUAAAAAGUCACAAGAAUGUGGAACUCGAAGAACUUAUUUCGAAGUGUGGAGGUCUUCCCAAAGUGAUAGUUUCUAUAGCUGCUUUAUUGGCCACGCAGACAGUAACAUUGAUGGAUACGGUGCAUUCACUGAAUCACAAAUUUAUGCACCGCCUAGAGACCAAUCUGGAGUAUGAUGGUCUGCGGGGCCUAUUUGAAUGGAUGCGUUCCUAUUUCCGUACUUGCCCGGAUUCACUCAAGCCAUGUAUCUUUUACCUAUCAAUUUUCCCUCGAGGUCAAAUCAUUCGAAGAAGGCGACUAGUAAGGAGGUGGAUUGCAGAAGGCUACUCCAGGGACAGCGACGAAGAAUCUGCGGUGGAGAAAGGGGAGAAAUUCUUCUCCAAGCUCCUUGAUCUGAGCAUAAUCCAGCAGAUACCACAGUUAGUCACCACUGCAUUCGAUGACGCAAGGAUGGUCUCAUGCCAGGUCAAUGGCUUCAUCCGUGAGUAUAUAGUCUCGCGAAGAAUGGAAGAGAACCUUGUCUUUGAACUUGGGGCCAAUUGUGUUCUGACAACCCAACGCACAGGGCGACACCUUAUCAUAUUGGAGAGUUGGGACAGAGACAUAAUUGUAUUUGAGAGCAUUGACUUCUCGCGGCUACGGUCGCUCACAGUGUUUGGAAAGUGGGAACCAUUCUUCAUCUCCAAAAGUAUGAGGUUGCUUCGUGUUCUUGAUCUGGAGGAUGCAUCGGGUUUAAAGGAUGAAGAUCUAAUUGAGAUGGUGAAGCGGCUACGUCGCCUCAAGUUUCUCUCCCUACGAGGAUGUAGAGAGAUUUUCCAUCUGCCAAGUUCACUGGGUGAUCUUAGGCAGCUCCAGACUCUGGAUGUGAGACACACCUCCAUAGUCAGACUGCCAAAGAACGUCGUGAAGUUAGAGAAGUUGCAGUAUAUCCGAGCUGGCACCACCGUCUCAGCAUUGACACCACCUGCCCCAUCCAGCAGCUUGCUAAAGUUCCGCAGACGUCGUGGCCUUCUUGGUGUUCAGGUGCCUAAAGGGAUUGGAAAACUGACAGCACUGCACACUCUAGGUGUUGUCAAUGUCAGUGCUUCUGGGGGAAAAGCCAUUGUGGAAGAGCUCAAGAAACUCACCCAAUUGCGCAAGCUUGGUGUGUCUGGUAUCAAUAGGCAGAACAGCAAGGACUUCUUCUCUGCAAUCUCAGGUCAUGUGCAUUUGGAAUCCUUGUUAGUGCAGUUUGCCAAGGACAAUCAAGGCUCCCUGGAUGGCAUCCCCCUGCCUUGCAAAAACCUACAGAGUCUUAAACUGUAUGGUCUUCAAGAAAAGUUACCUCUACCAUGGAACCAACUUAGCAAGCUCAGGAAGUUGGAUGUGGAGAUGACCACUUUGGAGAAAACUGACAUUGAGUUCCUUGCCAAGCUACCCAACCUGUGCAUUCUACGUCUUCUUGUGAAGCAGCCUCAGGAUGGCAAGCUCCAUUUUUACGCAGAGAUGUAUGCAGAGCAGUUGGCCACCUUCGAAAAGGUGAAGAUCCUUGAGAUUGGUUGCAGCUCCAGCGAGUUGCAUGUAAUCUUUGGAUCAAAAUCGAUGAAGAAUCUUGAGCUGCUCAAGAUUGACUGUUCCAGUGCAACAUAUAAGCUUACCGGCCUGAAUUAUCAAACUGAACUCAAGGAAGUCUUGCUCAAGGGUACCAAUGAUGAAGCAUUCCGGACACAGUUUGCUAGCCAGCUUGCCAGUCAUCCAAAUAAGCCUGCCGUGAAGCUGGAGAAACUACCGGCAUCAACAUGA